rnacentral:rRNA from 1 species
GAUGAACGCUGGCGGCGUGCCUAAUACAUGCAAGUCGAGCGAACAGACGAGGAGCUUGCUCCUCUGACGUUAGCGGCGGACGGGUGAGUAACACGUGGAUAACCUACCUAUAAGACUGGGAUAACUUCGGGAAACCGGAGCUAAUACCGGAUAACAUGUUGAACCGCAUGGUUCAACAGUGAAAUACGGUCUUGCUGUCACUUAUUGAUGGAUCCGCGCCGCAUUAGCUAGUUGGUAAGGUAACGGCUUACCAAGGCAACGAUGCGUAGCCGACCUGAGAGGGUGAUCGGCCACACUGGAACUGAGACACGGUCCAGACUCCUACGGGAGGCAGCAGUAGGGAAUCUUCCGCAAUGGGCGAAAGCCUGACGGAGCAACGCCGCGUGAGUGAAGAAGGUCUUCGGAUCGUAAAACUCUGUUAUUAGGGAAGAACAAAUGUGUAAGUAACUAUGCACGUCUUGACGGUACCUAAUCAGAAAGCCACGGCUAACUACGUG